rnacentral:rRNA from 1 species
UACGUAGGGCGCGAGCGUUGUCCGGAUUUAUUGGGCGUAAAGAGCUCGUAGGCGGUCUGUCGCGUCUGCUGUGAAAACUCGGGGCUUAACCCCGGGCCUGCAGUGGGUACGGGCAGACUAGAGUGCGGUAGGGGAGACUGGAAUUCCUGGUGUAGCGGUGAAAUGCGCAGAUAUCAGGAGGAACACCGGUGGCGAAGGCGGGUCUCUGGGCCGUAACUGACGCUGAGGUGCGAAAGCGUGGGGAGCAAACAGG